GUUCGCACGCGGACACGCCCGGGCUUCGGCCUGGGUGUGCCUUCGUCCUUGCCUGUUUGUACCCUUUGUUGCUUCCUCGGCGGGAGUCCUCCCGCCGCUAGGAGCCCCAAAACACCUUGCAAUCAGCAGUCGAUUCUGAUAAACAUACCUAAAAUAUUUACAACUUUCAACAAUGGAUCUCUUGGUUCUGGCAUCGAUGAAGAACGCAGCGAAAUGCGAUAAGUAGUGUGAAUUGCAGAAUUCAGUGAAUCAUCGAAUCUUUGAACGCACAUUGCGCCCCUCGGUAUUCCGUGGGGCAUGCCUGUUCGAGCGUCAUUUACACCCUCAAGCUCUGCUUGGUGUUGGGCGUCUGUCCCACGCGGCUUGCCCGCCCGGACUCGCCUCAAAGGUAUUGGCAGCGGUCUUGCCGGGCCUCCUAAUCGCGCAGCACUGUUCGCGCUUCCGGGAGUCCGCGCGAAAUCAGCGUCCAUCAAGCCCCCUUCUUCAGAAUUUGACCUCGGAUCAGGUAGGGAUACCCGCUGAACUUAAGCAUAUCAAUA
rnacentral:rRNA from 1 species